UUCAGACGAUGCGUCAUGCAUAUCAAUAAGCGGAGGAAAAGAAACUAACAAGGAUUCCCCUAGUAACGGCGAGUGAAGCGGGAAGAGCUCAAAUUUGAAAUCUUAAAGGGUUUCCCUUUACGAAUUGUAGUUUAAAGAAGUGUUUUCUGUUGAGGUUUUGGUAAAAGUUCUUUGGAAUAGGACAUCAUAGAGGGUGAGAAUCCCGUAUUUGACCUUUACUUUCAACUUUGUGAUACACUUUCAAAGAGUCGGAUUGUUUGGGGAAUGCAGUCCAAAAUGGGUGGUAAAUUUCAUCUAAAGCUAAAUAUUGGCGAGAGACCGAUAGCGAACAAGUACCGUGAGGGAAAGAUGAAAAGAACUUUGAAAAGAGAGUUAAACAGUACGUGAAAUUGUCAAAAGGGAAGCGUUUGACACCAGUGUUGUUUUUCUGAAAAUCAAUUAAAGAACUGUUUAUGCUAAGUUGUUUAGACUUUAUCAGCUAACUGUUUAGUUUUGAGCUUUUCUUUAAUGCACUUUUCAGUUAACAAGUCAACAUCAAUUUCUUUUGCUGUAAAAAAGCUUGAGGAAGGUGGCUUGAGAUUCGUCUUAAGUGUUUAUAGCCUCUUGCCUAUGCAGUCGGAGAGAUUGAGGUCUGCAGCGUAGAUCCUUCGGGGCUAAAUGCAUUUGUGCUAAGUCUAUAGCAUUUUAUAGACAACUUGUUGACUAUGAUUUGUCUUGUAGCUUACUCGCUUAUGUUAUUUUACCUACGCUUAGGAUGUUGAGCGCAUGUCUCUCUCU
rnacentral:rRNA from 1 species